rnacentral:rRNA from 1 species
AGAGUUUGAUCCUGGCUCAGGAUGAACGCUGGCGGUAUGCUUAACACAUGCAAGUCGAACGAUGUUUUAGGACAUAGUGGCGGACGGGUGAGUAACGCGUAAGAAUCUACCUUCAGGUUGGGGACAACCACUGGAAACGGUGGCUAAUACCGAAUGUGCCGAGAGGUGAAAGGCUUGCUGCCUGAAGAAGAGCUUGCGUCUGAUUAGCUAGUUGGUGGGGUAAGAGCCUACCAAGGCGACGAUCAGUAGCUGGUCUGAGAGGAUGAUCAGCCACACUGGGACUGAGACACGGCCCAGACUCCUACGGGAGGCAGCAGUGGGGAAUUUUCCGCAAUGGGCGAAAGCCUGACGGAGCAAUACCGCGUGAGGGAGGAAGGCUCUUGGGUUGUAAACCUCUUUUCUCAAGGAAGAAAAAAAUGACGGUACUUGAGGAAUAAGCAUCGGCUAACUCCGUGCCAGCAGCCGCGGUAAUACGGAGGAUGCAAGCGUUAUCCGGAAUGAUUGGGCGUAAAGGGUCCGCAGGUGGUAGUGAAAGUCUGCUGUUAAAGAGUCACGCUCAACGUGAUAAGAGCAGUGGAAACUACACAACUAGAGUACGGUAGGGGCAGAAGGAAUUCCUGGUGUAGCGGUGAAAUGCGUAGAUAUCAGGAAGAACACCGGUGGCGAAAGCGUUCUGCUAGACCUGUACUGACACUGAGGGACGAAAGCUAGGGGAGCGAAUGGGAUUAGAUACCCCAGUAGUCCUAGCCGUAAACGAUGGAUACUAGGUGUGGCUUGUAUCGACCCGAGCCGUACCGUAGCUAACGCGUUAAGUAUCCCGCCUGGGGAGUACGCACGCAAGUGUGAAACUCAAAGGAAUUGACGGGGGCCCGCACAAGCGGUGGAGUAUGUGGUUUAAUUCGAUGCAACGCGAAGAACCUUACCAAGGCUUGACAUCCUGCGAAUCCCGUUGAAAGAUGGGAGUGCCUUAGGGAGCGCGGAGACAGGUGGUGCAUGGCUGUCGUCAGCUCGUGUCGUGAGAUGUUGGGUUAAGUCCCGCAACGAGCGCAACCCUCGUUUUUAGUUGCCAGCAUUAAGAUGGGCACUCUAGAGAGACUGCCGGUGACAAACCGGAGGAAGGUGGGGAUGACGUCAAGUCAGCAUGCCCCUUACGCCUUGGGCUACACACGUACUACAAUGCUCCGGACAAAGGGCGGCGACACAGCGAUGUGAAGCAAAUCUCAUAAACCGGAGCUCAGUUCAGAUCGAAGGCUGCAACUCGCCUUCGUGAAGGAGGAAUCGCUAGUAAUUGCAGGUCAGCAUACUGCAGUGAAUUCGUUCCCGGGCCUUGUACACACCGCCCGUCACACCAUGGAAGUUGGUCACGCCCGAAGUCGUUACUGUAAC